GGCUUAUUAGCUUAGUUGGUUAGAGUGUCGUGCUAAUAACAUGAAGGUCGCAGGUUCAAGACUUACAUGGGCCA
rfam:Ipomoea nil DNA, scaffold: scaffold1298, cultivar: Tokyo-kokei standard.